AAAAAAAAAAAAAAAAAAAAUCGAUUUAUUGAGCAAUUUCUGGCGAUUGUUGUUGUAUCAUUAUUGUUAUAUACUCGUUACCUAAAUCAACUGAUUGUCUUGUUUCUUAGAUGGUACAGAAGUUUAUAGUUGGUCAUUGUGGGGUUGUUUUCACAUUGUAUAAGUUCCGCCUGGGCUAAUAUUUUGUGCUGCUGAUUUUCAGAUUCUAAUUUUGAGCGUCUAUAGUCAAGCUGUCUUUAUUUACACUCUCUAAUGGCGGUAUGUUAGCUACUGAUUGUUUUCUCAGCUCCUGUCCUCCACCCCUUCUUUCUUUUUGGGAACCUUUGCUUUCUUUUUCAUGGUGCAAGACGUAGGUUUACGUAUUAUUGUUUUUUAAUUUUAAUUCACAGGUUGAUAAAAUUCUUAAAGAUGAAGCUAGCGAAGAAAAGGGAGAGCGUGCUAGAAUGGUGAGUUUUGUCCUGAUUUGCAUGGUAACCAUG
rnacentral:misc_RNA from 1 species